GUCUUUUAGUAGAGAGGUGUCUCAUUGGCAAUCAUACCACAUCUUUUUCAUAUUUACAUUUGUAUUUAAAAAUUGACUCAGUAACAUAAACGUCCAUCUAAGCAAGAAUGAAGUGUUCUUUUAAUGUAACACUUUGUAAACCAAGUAUACUGCAUGCAAUAUGAUUGGUUGACUGUUCAUUGCAAAAUGUCCAGUGAUAAUUUUUCAUGGAUGUUUAGGACAAGAAAAACAAUGAAUACAAAAUAAGUCCUGUUAAAGAGAGGCGACUGAUACCAGUAAUUAAAAAUACACCGACAACGCCAAGACUAACAAUAAAAAAUCAAGACAAACAAUAGUACUGAACAACACGAACCCUUCCAAAAAUGAGGGUGAUCUUGAAAGCUUCGGAAGAGUAACCAAAUCCUGCCCCAUCCGUUCUGUUGCUAUUAUUUAAAAAAAAAAUCGCAGUUAAAAGUUAAUUCGGUAGAACAAAUUCGAGAAAUGAUGAACGUGUAAGAGGCUGUGGGAUGAAGAUUUGAUUAAUUUAGAGUCAACUGGGAAAAUGAGGUAUGUUGGACAGCGUUAGAAA
rnacentral:lncRNA from 1 species